rnacentral:rRNA from 1 species
UUUUUAUAUAUAUAUUUAUAAGUAAAAUUUGCUCCAUGAAAAUAAAUAGCCGCAGAAUUUUAACUGUGCUAAGGUAGCAUAAUCAUUUACCUUUUAAUUAAAGGUUUGUAUGAAUGAUUUAACAUUUAAAUUACUUUUUACUUACUUUAAUCUAAAUUAAACUAAUCAUUAAAAUGUGUUUAUAAAAAAAAAAGACGACAAGACCCUACUGAACUUCACUUAUGUUAAGCUGGGGAAGCUAAUUAAAUAUAAUUUUAAUUUUAAUUUAUACAAUCUUUUCUGAAAUAUUCAAUUUAAACAAGUUACCAUAGGGAUAACAGCGUAAUAAUUUUUUAAAGCUCUUAUUAAAAAAAAUGGUUACGACCUCGAUGUUGAAUUAGAAUUACUUUAAAACGCAAUAGUGCUAAAAGUAGGUCUGUUCGACCUUUAAUUUUCUACA